rnacentral:misc_RNA from 1 species
UGUUUGGCGCCUUGAUCUCACAGCUAUACCUUCUGAAAUUUGUUUCUGCAGAAGUUCAAGCUCUUCAUGACUUGGCUCUAAAUCAUUGGAUUCUUUGAUGGGAUAUUGUAUGGAAUAUUCUUCCCUUUGCCCAGUGUCAUUUUGUACAGAAUCUCCUAGAAUACGAGCUAGUUCUGUUUCAGUAAACGGAGGCCGCCUUGAUGAGAAGGCAUCAGCUGUGGAUGGAUUUGCAAGUUUACCUUCAGUUUCUGCACAAGGAAAACUUUUAACCAAAAGGGCAGCAUCCUUUGCAACCUUGGCAGCAGCUCUUGCAAGAGCAACUG